rnacentral:rRNA from 1 species
CCAAGAGUUCAUAUCGACGGCGGUGUUUGGCACCUCGAUGUCGGCUCAUCUCAUCCUGGGGCUGUAGCCGGUCCCAAGGGUAUGGCUGUUCGCCAUUUAAAGAGGUACGUGAGCUGGGUUCAAAACGUCGUGAGACAGUUUGGUCCCUAUCUGCCGUGGGCGCUGGAAAUUUGAGGGGGCCUGCUCCUAGUACGAGAGGACCGGAGUGGACACACCUCUGGUGUACCUGUUGUCACGCCAGUGGCAUCGCAGGGUAGCUAUGUGUUGAAGAGAUAACCGCUGAAAGCAUCUAAGCGGGAAACUCGCCUCAAGAUUAGAUUUCCCGGAGGUUUAACCUCCCUAAAGGGUCGUUCGAGACCAGGACGUUGAUAGGUCGGGUGUGGAAGCGUGGUAACACGUUAAGCUAACCGAUACUAAUUGCCCGUGCGGCUUGAUCCUAUAACCUUGCG